AUACGGAGGGGGCUAGCGUUGUUCGGAAUUACUGGGCGUAAAGCGCGUGUAGGCGGAUCGUUAAGUCAGGGGUGAAAGCCCGGGGCUCAACCCCGGAACUGCCCUUGAUACUGGCGAUCUAGAGUCCGGAAGAGGUGGGCGGAAUUCCCGGUGUAGAGGUGAAAUUCGUAGAUAUCGGGAGGAACACCAGUGGCGAAGGCGGCUCACUGGUCCGGCACUGACGCUGAGACGCGAAAGCGUGGGGAGCAAACAGGAUUAGAUACCCUUGUAGUCC
rnacentral:rRNA from 1 species